AACAAACAUUAGAGUUCUGAAAUCUAUAAGGGAAAACAAAACCAUCCCUUAAGCCAACAAAUGUCACCAAGUCCACCCGACACUGUCGAGGAGCAAAGUCCCAAGUGUUAGAUGCUGUGCUCACCCCAGAGACGGAUGGAUCACACCGUUGAAAUUUUCUCCAUGUGUGUGACUCAUUUGUGUGCAUCUAUGUACAGGCCAGUUAACGCUGCCUGUCUAUGCACGGAUGCUGAGAUUCGGGAGCAUCCACUGGAGCACAGGAAACCUACAAGUGGUCACAUCCUUAACAAAGAGUGAUUCUCCCUCUUCCAGCAAAUAUCCACUACGAAUAGCUCCUCACUAUGGAGUGAGGCUUGGGGAUCAUCGACCCAUCUAUACCAGGAUUUUGG
rnacentral:lncRNA from 1 species